UAUGCGAAAAACAAAGCUUAGCUAGCAGUAUCCUGAGUAGGGCGGGACACGAGGAAUCCUGUCUGAAUCCGGGUCGACCACGAUCCAACCCUAAAUACUAAUACCAGAUCGAUAGUGCACAAGUACCGUGAGGGAAAGGUGAAAAGAACUGAGGUGAUCAGAGUGAAAUAGAACCUGAAACCAUUUGCUUACAAUCAUUCAGAGCACUAUGUAGCAAUACAGUGUGAUGGACUGCCUUUUGCAUAAUGAGCCUGCGAGUUGUGGUGUCUGGCAAGGUUAAGCAAACGCGAAGCCGUAGCGAAAGCGAGUCUGAAUAGGGCGCUUAGUCAGAUGCUGCAGACCCGAAACGAAGUGAUCUAUCCAUGAGCAAGUUGAAGCUAGUGUAAGAACUAGUGGAGGACUGAACCCAUAGGCGUUGAAAAGCCCCGGGAUGACUUGUGGAUAGGGGUGAAAGGCCAAUCAAACUUCGUGAUAGCUGGUUCUCUCCGAAAUAUAUUUAGGUAUAGCGUUGUGUCGUAAUAUAAGGGGGUAGAGCACUGAAUGGGCUAGGGCAUACACCAAUGUACCAAACCCUAUCAAACUCCGAAUACCUUAUAUGUAAUCACAGCAGUCAGGCGGCGAGUGAUAAAAUCCGUCGUCAAGAGGGAAACAACCCAGACUACCAGCUAAGGUCCCUAAAUCUUACUUAAGUGGAAAACGAUGUGAAGUUACUUAAACAACCAGGAGGUUGGCUUAGAAGCAGCCAUCCUUUAAAGAAAGCGUAAUAGCUCACUGGUCUAGUGAUUUUGCGCGGAAAAUAUAACGGGGCUAAAGUAAGUACCGAAGCUGUAGACUUGCGCACAACUUAGAUUAUUUAAGUUUAGAAUAUGAGAAACUAAGUUAUAUUUUUACUGAUUUUUAUAGAGUAAAGAUAGAAAUAAAACUUAGUAAAAUCAGUAAAAAUAUUCUUAGGCUAAAGUUAAGUAGUUUAAGUUGUGUGCAAGUGGUAGGAGAGCGUUCUAUUUGCGUCGAAGGUAUACCGGUAAGGAGUGCUGGAGCGAAUAGAAGUGAGCAUGCAGGCAUGAGUAGCGAUAAUUAAUGUGAGAAUCAUUAACGCCGUAAACCCAAGGUUUCCUACGCGAUGCUCGUCAUCGUAGGGUUAGUCGGGUCCUAAGUCGAGUCCGAAAGGGGUAGACGAUGGCAAAUUGGUUAAUAUUCCAAUACCAACAUUAGUGUGCGAUGGAAGGACGCUUAGGGCUAAGGGGGCUAGCGGAUGGAAGUGCUAGUCUAAGGUCGUAGGAGGUUAUACAGGCAAAUCCGUAUAACAAUACUCCGAGAACUGAAAGGCUUUUUGAAGUCUUCGGAUGGAUAGAAGAACCCCUGAUGCCGUCGAGCCAAGAAAAGUUUCUAAGUUUAGCUAAUGUUGCCCGUACCGUAAACCGACACAGGUGGGUGGGAUGAGUAUUCUAAGGCGCGUGGAAGAACUCUCUUUAAGGAACUCUGCAAAAUAGCACCGUAUCUUC
rnacentral:rRNA from 1 species